UACGUAGGGUGCGAGCGUUGUCCGGAAUUAUUGGGCGUAAAGGGCUCGUAGGCGGUUUGUCGCGUCGGGAGUGAAAACCUUGGGCUUAACUCAGGGCUUGCUUUCGAUACGGGCAGACUAGAGGUAUGCAGGGGAGAACGGAAUUCCUGGUGUAGCGGUGAAAUGCGCAGAUAUCAGGAGGAACACCGGUGGCGAAGGCGGUCUCUGGGCAUGAUCUGACGCUGAGGAGCGAAAGUGUGGGGAGCGAACAGG
rnacentral:rRNA from 1 species